GGCAGGAGCGCGGGUCCUCCAGCCAGCCAAGGGCUCCUGCUGCUUCGCGGUGUGUGAGUCCCAGGUGAGGAGCCCCCCACGCAGGCCAGACAGGUGGGCUCCAGACAGUCCUGAGACAAUGGCCCACUCCACACCCUCCAAAUCCUCCAACAGACGACUUCUGCAUUGAAUGUCUUCACGGUCACCAUCUGCCCCAGCCUGUUGGUUUUCAGAGAUGUGAGCUGACUCCGCCUUGUCUACAGCCCUGGCAUGACCCAGGACAUGGCAUGACCCAGGCCAGGACCCAGAUCUCCCCACGGGCUCCGUGCACGGCUGCUUCCCUGCCCAGCUGGGGCUCACUCACUGCGCGUUCACCAUGCUGCACACAGCUGAGACCAUGAGGAAGAGGCAAUCAUGAGUAAUUAUUCAGUGCCAGGGGUUGUGCUGAGCCCUUUUCACGUGUUUUACAAACCAUUGGUGUCUACAAAUGAGGAAACAGCACCUUGUACCCAGUGAGGGGGUUGCCAGGUCACAGGAUGGCUCCAGGGCUCGCGAGCCUUUCCCGGGGCCAAGUGGUCUCCCCCAAGCUGUGGAGGCAGCUCCUGAGAACUGGUCUUCCUCCAGGGCCCGGACAUGCAAGUGCGGCCUCACUUCUCAGUGAGGGUGUCCUCACAAGAGCCGCGCGUCGGGGACACGGGACCUCCGCCCUGGUGUCCUCCCAAGAGCUGCGCGUCGGGGACACGGGGCCUCCGCCCUGGUGUCCUCCCAAGAGCUGCGCGUCGGGGACACGGGGCCUCCGCCCUGGUGUCCUCCCAAGAGCUGCGCGUCGGGGACACGGGACCUCCGCCCUGGUGUCCUCCCAAGAGCUGCGUGUCAGGGACACGGGACCUCUGCCCUGGCCAUCACUGAGGGCCCAGGGCGGUGGGCUCCUGGGUGAGGUGCCUGCGGGGGAACACGGACCGAGACGGAGCAGGUGUUAGCAACUUCCACUCACAGACGGGGGAAAGCAAGUCUCAGAGAGGUGAAGGGACUCCAUCACAGUCAUACCGCUGGUCUGUAGAAAAGUCCGCAUGAGAACUCAGAUGUGUGGAGGCCAAAGUCAACGACAGCAUCAAACAGGAUUCGUUUCACUGCAUUUCCCCGACCCCGUUUGAAUUAAUGGGCACUGAAUUUA